AUAGGAAAGCUGUCUCUCUCUGGCACCGGCUAAGACAGCAAUCCUUUGGAAAUGAUCCUCUUGCCGGUGUGUUGUCUCCCCAGCGGGGCUCAGCUUCAACAAUCAGACCUCUUUUGAACUAACAAAAGUGUGUGAUUUGGGUCUUCCCAGCUGAGAAAAUGUAGAGGAACUGUCCCAGACUCUGAUGUGAACCGGCAGUAGGUAACCUUUCGCUGGUGAAUAUGAGCAAGUCCGGCCCAUACAGAAGGGGGAGGGAGGGGGGAACUGCAAGGGACAGGUGGAGAGAUGACGCCAAGAAGACCCUAGGAUCUCAGGAGGAAAUCUCUGCAAUUCCUAAAAUAAACCCGGGCUCCCAAGAAUAAUGUGUCCCUCCAGGGACUUGGAAGUGAGCGUUAUACAAUGCAGAGGUUUCAGUGCAUGGUCAGCUGCUUCAAGGCACAAACUUCAUGGAAGAUGGAAAUGGGAAGAAAUCUGCUCAUGUUAUGGCAGCCAGGAAACAGAAAGGACAAGGCUGAGCAAUGGAGUCCCAUUUGUGCUUCCACUUUCCAGUUAGAGGUGAGAACUAGACACGACUUUCCACUAGCCUGGGGCCGGUCCAG